GGAAUAUUGGGCAAUGGGCGCAAGCCUGACCCAGCAACGCCGCGUGAAUGAAGAAGGUUUUCGGAUUGUAAAGUUCUGUGAUGGGGGACGAAGACAGUGACGGUACCCCAAUAGCAAGCUACGGCUAACUACGUGCCAGCAGCCGCGGUAAUACGUAGGUAGCGAGCGUUGUCCGGAAUGACUGGGCGUAAAGGGUGCGUAGGUGGUAUGACAAGUUGGUAGUGAAAUUCCGAGGCUUAACUUCGGCGCUACUACCAAGACUGUUAAACUUGAGUACAGGAGAGGUAAGUGGAAUUCCUAGUGUAGCGGUGGAAUGCGUAGAUAUUAGGAGGAACACCAGAGGCGAAGGCGACUUACUGGCCUGCAACUGACACUGAGGCACGAAAGCGUGGGGAGCAAACA
rnacentral:rRNA from 1 species